rnacentral:lncRNA from 1 species
UAGGCGAUCAGCCCCCUUUCCAGAGAUCCAGGCACAGCUACUGCAGAACACCAAAACUCACGAACUGGAUACAAAAUAGCACUCCAACUCCCGAACUGGAACCUCCCAAAUAGCUGCUAGCAGACGAACAGGAAAAGCAGACGAACAGCUUACACUCCUGGCAAUCAGUCUCUAACAGCAUACAGUGAAUCCCCCCAAGAACGAGACAAGGCUCCGUGUUGAGGGUCAAGCAGUGGUCUG